CAAGGCAGGACGCAGAAGUAGUACUUCCUUCGAGCCCUCCCCUCCCCUCGCGUCGCCCCCUCUAGGGCGACUCGGGGGCUCCAAACCCUAGCCCCGCCGCCGCCCCCUCCCUCCCCCCUCCCCCCUCGCCGCCGCCUGAGGCUGCCCCCGGGCAAGCCCGGGGCGCAGCCAAGGAAGGUGGCGGCGGGGCCUUCGCUACUCUGCAUCUGCUGCAGGGGGCUGCGUGCUCCGGGGCGGCGGCCCUAGUUGGAGUGGCGUCACCGGCCAUCGACAGGCGGUGGCGCGGGCGUGGACCGGCGACCUCGGCCGUGGGGAGAGCGGGCGAACCGGAGGACGUGAGCCAGGGCGGGCCGGCAACCUUGGUUGUUUGCGGCACCAGAUCUGGCCGCCCCUACAUCCUCUGUCUCUGGAUGAGCCAUGCCACGGCCCGAUCUGGUUUGCUUCGUCGUGGGCGCCGGUUCUCGUGUUGUUGGGGAGUGGUUGGCGGGGACGUGAAGACCGGGAGAAAUCUCAUGCCGGCCUUGCUGGUCUCGACGGCGGCGACGCCCGCGGGCGCCGCUCCCCUCCUUGGAGGCGCCGCCUGGGUAUGUUCCUCUGUCCCCUCCCCCUCCUUGCCUCCCAGGAGAAAUCCUCAAUGUUGUUGGGCGGCGGCGGUGCCCUUGGCGUCGCACCCUUCCUGAAGGCGCCGUUUUUGGGAGCUAGGUGGGCGUGGGGUUUCUCGGAGAUAUGUUUCGUGUGCAGCGGCGGCGGUAGCUGACCUCCCACGACGACGGCGACUUCCUAAGUGACUAUUUCGGGAGCUCUCCGGUCUGUUGCGGGGUGCCCUGCCUGGCCCGUGGUUCCUCCUGGGCGAGAGGGGAUCGGGUUCCCCUCCUACGGCGGCCCCUCUCAGCGCACCUUGAGAGCUUUCCGGUACCCGCACUUCGGUUCUCAAUGUCUUAUGCAGCCUACCGGCAACUAUCUCCCAGGUUCUAGGGUGAACUGCUCUCUUGUCAACGGUGCGGCGCCAUUCGAGCCAGGCGAGGAGGCAGGGGCCUUCUUUGACAUUGGAGCUAGGCGGAUGUGUUGGGUCGGGGCUGCUGGCGAUUAGGUGAUAGCGUGUCCUGCUUCGUCGCUGGACGUGUUGAUCCAGUGCGGGCAUUCUACUUCUUCCACGGUGUUCUGAUCACGUUGAGGACCUCUUCAUCGUCGAGCGGUGCUUCUCCCUGAUGAUCUUUUUAGCUUGGUGUGUAGGAGGCUUGUGAGCUGCUUUCCAGCGCCUUUGUAUCUUGUCGUUUUCUUUUCUUUCUUGUGCUGGUUCCGAGUUUAUAAUCCUGACCGGUUGAUGGCUUUGUUAAUUCAAAGCCGGGCUCUUCUUGAGCCUUUGUUUUAAAAAAAAACAAGGCAGGACGCAGACCAAAUAAGAAAAUUAAAUGUCUAUUCAAUACUUGUACCUCUCCAUUGCCAUCUAGUAAUUAGGUGUCUUCUAACUCUCUAGGCCACAUGUAGAUAUGUCCUGUGCCGCUCUUGGACUUGAAGCCCUGGUACCCACAGGGCAGAGAUGUCCUGCAUCCAGCCAGAGCUGCUGCAAACGCAACCCCUCACCAUACUUCAAGUUUAAGUUUAAGUUUGGAGAACCUGAUACACGGAGCUCUCUUAGUUUAAGAAGGUUGAGACCCUCUCGAGGACGUCACAUCCAGUGACUACAAGCAUCUGAGAGAGGAAUGGGAGGUCCUCCAACAUGCUCAAGCACCUUGUUCCUCUUAAAUAGAGCGACUUCAAGCUAAUUGCCUCCUGUCCAAGCUGUCAUGGGAGAGCUCUUAGCUCCCGGCAGCCUUUGAGUACCGAGCAUUUCAAGCUUCGCUGCUUCGGAGCAUGUGGAUCCUUGGGGACAGGGCUUCCCUUUUUCGCAUCUUAGCAGAUCCAUCGUCUUCCCCUUCCGUAGCUGUUGUUGAUGCUGACCAUUGAAGUGUGCGCUCCUUGAAGUCGUCCGCUGCAAGUCGUCGGUGUCUCGCUGCCAUUCAAAGCAUGAUUUUUGCUGGAUUUCCUUCGCCAAACAAUGGGGUCAAUCAAAAUUAUUUGGUGGCUAAUUGAACCAAUCUAGUGGAUGGAUCUGAAAACUCAAAAACUGGAAGCCUAUGGAGUUUGAUCUAGAACCGAUCCAAUCUUUGAUUGACCGGAUGUCGUGCCCAGAGGCUAGAGAUUAAUCUCCCCUGGGACGGCACACUGUGGAAGUGAUGGAGAAACCUAGAAUCAGCCCCGUUGGACUAACCGCUAUAAUACCAUCAAUGGCGGAGCUACGUGUUACCAAAACAAGCCAUGGCCCGCCCAGCCCACAGCAAAUACAGUGGAGGACUGAGAGUAUAAUGGGCCUUGAGGGCAAAACUAAUGGGCUUCCUUUUACUGGCCCGCCCAGUUUCCCUGAUGUAGCUCCACCACUGAAUACCAUGUAGAAUUGUAGGAUGGCUAAACAUUUCUGUUGUAUUGUGUUGUAUUGAUCUGAUCCUUGUAGGGUAGAGUACAAUGUGGGGAGAGGAUGGGAGUACAAGGCAAGUCAUUGUUACCAAAUAUAUCUCUUAUCUCUCCUUAUCUCUAACUAACACGUUUAUACUUCUAACACUACGCCGCUGGCUAGCAGUCCACAGAGGCGAUUCCCAGGCGUGGAGGCGACGGACGCGAGGAGGCUACGGGGCGGUCGUGGUGUUCUUCGCCGGUUCCGAUGCCGUCGACUGUCUAGGAGUUGAGGUGGACCUUCUUACGCCAUCUCCAAGGUCAGCUGGCUCGGUUCGGGGCAAAAACGGACCUCUGCGGCCAUCAGGCAGAGCUACAGGACGACGGGCUCGUCGGCGGUGAAAAAACUGAUUUUGGCACCGGCGAGCGACGAGAAGGCGGAAGAGGGCAGCGGGGCUGCGGGAUGGCCGCGUGGAACAGUUUCGGCGCAGGGGUCUGGAUGGGGGCAACGGCAGGGGCGACACUGACGCGCCGAGAGGAACAAUGCAUGGGUGGCCGACUAUACUGAGAAGCUGCGGCUUUGGGGGAUGAAAAGCUAUUUAUUUUUUAGGGGUUAAUAGAUCUGAGGGAUCUGCUAGCUAGGCUUUAAUCCCUCAAAACAAAAUUAACUUCUAGGGCAUUUGCUAGAGAUGCUUUUAUAAGCCAAACUCUAAAAAGCAAAGUUCAGCCGAGAGAAUCUGGAAAUGCCCUAUUCUGAUCGAAAUUCCAAGUGGGCCUCAUUUCUUUUCA